ACUGCAGGACACAUGAACAUCGACAUUUCGAACGCACAUUGCGGUCCUUGGAUUUCCAAUCCCGGACCACGCCUGGCUGAGGGUCGGCUUGCAAACAAUUCCCGUGGCAUCGUCGGCGUUUUCUCUCCACUGACUCGACACACUGUGUGUCGUUUGCUGUGGGAAUGAGAGGCCCGUCGCUUGUCCGCUUUGGGGGCACCGGUGCCUUGCGAAAAAGGAAAAAAUUUGUUUUUCUUUCUUUUGCGAGCCCGUCGCUCUUUAAGUCUCUCGUGAAGCUGUCGGCAGCUUAUGCUGAACGGGGCAAUGCGUGUGUGGAAAAGGUUCUGUCUCGUCCGCUAUAUGGUCGGUCCCGCGUGAGGCUGCAAAGCCGAUAGGGGUCGAUCGGACAAAGAACAUCCGCUGCGCGCGCGGUUCUGGCUGCUUUGUAACAGAAAAAGCCUUGUGACCGACCCCCGGUGUUCGUCUGCUCGACGCAAAAGCUUCUGGCAAGGCUCUUGGCAGUCUUAAUUGUUUCCGACCCCAGAUCAGGCGAGACUACCCGCUGAAUUUAAGCAUAUUAAUAAGCGGAGGAAAGG
rnacentral:rRNA from 1 species